rnacentral:rRNA from 1 species
GUGAACCUGCGGAAGGAUCAUUACCAAUUUUANCGAACCUGACCCUUGUUUGGUCAUGGUCUCNCNAAAAAACUGUAUUUAAAACCCCACUCUUAAAAAUGAACCUUUUUUUAUAUAUAAAUAAAAUAAGAUCACUUUCAACAACGGAUCUCUUGGCUCUCNCAUCNAUGAAGAACGUANCGAAGUGCGAUAAGUAAUGUGAAUUGCANAAUUCCGUGAAUCAUCNAAUCUUUGAACGCAAAUUGCACUCUCUUUGGGGAGUAUGCCUGUUUGAGGGUCANUAAUAAUAAAAUCGGGGUGUUGCUCUUUUGUGACACAACGGAGUUUGGGCUACCUUUGACUUUCGGGUUUAAGAGGCUUAAAUUGAACUUUUUUGCGCACUUUUAGACGUACAUAAAUUUAUUUUAUCGUCUAUUCUGGUGCCAAUUAUCUAUUAGGUGCGAUCAUGUUUAUAUGAUCUCGUGCCCAUAAUUCUCAUCUUUUGACCUCAAAUCAGGUAAGGACACCCGCUGAACUUA